rnacentral:rRNA from 1 species
UACGUAGGUGGCAAGCGUUGUCCGGAUUUAUUGGGUUUAAAGGGUGCGUAGGCGGCCCUGUAAGUCAGUGGUGAAAUAUCUCAGCUUAACUGAGAGGGUGCCAUUGAUACUGCAGGGCUUGAGUACAGAUGAGGUAGGCGGAAUUGACGGUGUAGCGGUGAAAUGCAUAGAUAUCGUCAAGAACACCGAUAGCGAAGGCAGCUUACCAAGCUGUAACUGACGCUGAGGCACGAAAGUGUGGGGAUCAAACAGG